GCCGGGUGUGGUGGCUCAUGCCUGUAAUCCUAGCACUUUGGGAGGCUGAGGCAGGUGGAUCACCUGAGGUCAGGAGUUUGAGACCAGCCUGACCAACAUGGAGAAACCCUGUCUCUA
rnacentral:SRP_RNA from 1 species